UACGGAGGGUGCGAGCGUUGUCCGGAAUCAUUGGGCGUAAAGGGCGCGUAGGUGGCCCGGUCAGUCCGUGGUGAAAGCGCGGGGCUCAACCCUGCGUCGGCCAUGGAUACUGCCGCGGCUCGAGCACUGUAGAGGCAGGCGGAAUUCCGGUGUAGCGGUGAAAUGCGUAGAGAUCGGAAGGAACACCAGUGGCGAAGGCGGCUACCUGGCCUGAUACUGACACUGAAGCACGAAAGCGUGGGGAGCAAACAGG
rnacentral:rRNA from 1 species